rnacentral:lncRNA from 1 species
ACGCAGCAGGCCAAGUUCCUGACAUGGCAGUUUGAUGGCGAGUAUCGGGGAGAUGACUACACAGCCACUCUGACCCUAGGAAAUCCUGACCUGAUUGGGGAGUCGGUGAUCAUGGUUGCUCACUUCCUGCAGAGCCUCACUCAUCGGCUGGUGCUGGGAGGAGAGCUAGUUUAUCACCGGCGGCCAGGCGAAGAGGGGGCCAUCUUGACACUGGCUGGGAAGUACUCGGGUAUGGGGCGAAGUGAAGUAGUGGUGGUGGUGGGGGGCAAUUCUGGACUUUUCUGGGGUUCCUGGCCUGUGUCAUACUACAGUUAACACUCCUUCCCCUCUGUACUUUGGAUUUUACAGCUGUACACUGGGUAGCUACAUUGAAUGUGGGAUCAGGCGGGGCCCAUGCAAGUUACUACCACAGGGCAAAUGAACA